rnacentral:lncRNA from 1 species
CCACCCCUCCCCACCAUCACCCGCCGCCAAUGCUUUUCCUUUCCCAGAUCCAACUCCUCUUCGUUCCCCUGCCGGCUGGUGGUCUCUCUUAGAUCCGAUUCAGUCCAGCAAGUUGUCUCUCUCUCUCUCUCUUCGUCGAGUAUUGGCGUGAUGGAGGUUGGCCAACAGCCGGCGUCAUCGAGGAGCUUCGGCGACCGGAGAGGCAGGCAUCGGUGAUGAGCUACGCGCGACGUGCACUCGGGUUCCGCCGCCGUGACGUCGCCGGAUCUGGACGCGCCGUGCCUCGACGCGGCGAGUUGCGCACACUGGUGCGAGACGGCGGCGUCUCCCGCGAGUUGCGCGCACUUGUGCGAGACGGCGUCGUCUUCGGCGAGCAGUGAGCUCCUCUCUUUUCGUCCUUUUUUUUCAUCUGCGAGCGGUGAGCCCCUUCCUCUGCAGCUUUGGUGGCAUGGGAUGCGGUGAAGCCGCUGCUGACGGAGGUGGAGUUGGUGCCGCUGCAGGCAAUAGAUGUGCCCGUCAGUAUCCUCUUCACCUCCAUCCGCCACACCGACGUCUACUUUUGAGAUUCCAGGGUAUGCAUAUAUUGGUGCCUCGGUGCUUCUGAUGCUUUGCUAUAAUGUGUUAGCUACUUAAUCCUGAUGUAUACUUGUAAGUAGUUUACUUGUUGCUUAGCUGAAUAAUUGGGGCCACAUAGUGGGUGUGUGUGUGUGUACAUGACUUGGCCCCUGCUCUUUAUGUUAGCAGUCGCUGUAAUUGGGGUCGUCAGAUCUUGUCGAUUAGCGGAUCUUGGUGAUCAGGGCGCGCUGGCUGAGACGUUGUGGGAUGGCGCAACAUAUCCUGCAGAUUUUUUUUAUCUGUUCUGAACUGAAAACAAAGAGUAAAAACCAUAUUAUCUUGAUCUUUGGCACUGUGAACACUUCAUGGUUGAUUUGAACAUCCUGAUUAGCCACAGAUUCUUUGUUGAUUGAUACUUCAGUUCCGUUCACUAUUGAACUCAAUUUAAUGCUUCUAUUUGAUAUUAUCAUUAAUGUGUAGUAGUCAUCUUUGUGCAGCUCAAAAUUCUAUCUAACUAGUUAAGUGCCCGUGCGUUGCAACAGAAAAAUGAGCAUUCUAGAACUUAACAAGAAGAAUGACAAACAUGAAAAAUUGACGCAUGGUCAUCGUCAUCAGAUAAGGAGACACCACUGCUUAUGAACAUGUACAUAGUCCAAGUCAUAUAAUCAAUAAUUGUGACAAUAUGAGAGGUAAAAAAAAUACAUGAACGAUGAUUAUCGAAGAACUUGGCCAUGGACUCUCUUCUCACAAUUGUAAAUAUCACAAAGCAUCCAUGUUGGAGUACCGAAACAAGUCAAAAAGUUCUCCAACAAAAUUAUUGGAAAGAACGCAAAAUUAAACACAUCAAGAUAGCCGUCCAUACCUCAUCGAAUAUCCAUUUUGUAAUGCAUGCUCUAGUGUCCUGUGUUAAGAGCAGGAAAGCAAUAUUAUCUUCGCAACAUAAUGUGUAGUGUCCUUAUGGUCUCCCUCAACAUCUUCCCUUGAGAGAUGUAAGAAAAUCAUAAAUCAUCUAAUUACUACUGAAAAGUAAAAUGUAGAAGUCCGUAGUGUCUACCGAUUUCGCCAUAGCCCCAUUUUCCUUUUUUUUUGAGACCUGGAUUCCUUGCGUAAUUUCAUCCAUCUCUUAGUUUUUUUGGAAUCGUUGAAUUCAUCACUCGACGUCAUCUAGCAGUUCGAUUCUAUUUGAGAGACCACGCUUGUUUAUUGCAAUUCAGAAUUGCAUUGAUUCUAUCGUUGCUGUAUUUGCAAUUCAAUCCGAAUCAAUAUAUCCCAAAAAAAUUCUAGAAUAUACACAAAAUCAGCCUAUUCCCCUUACUCUUAUAUGCAUCACGACUGAGUGAUAAGAAAUUGCAUCGCCACGAAGAGAUUUUAUUUUUUUGCUGAUACUUACUCUCAUCUUGAGAGGAAAAGAGACUUAUUUUUUCUGUUCUGUAUCGAACCACAACAUUUGAACUCUACGAAGAUUGCCAUAGCUCAUAACCUGCAACACAAGAAGUAUUUGUAGAUGAUAGAUCUAUGAACAGAAACAAUUGGAGUGUCAAUCUAACCAUCAAACCUUGAUACAAUUUGCCUUAAACAAUUUUGACUACAGGUAACCUAGGUAACCAGUUAAAGUUAUUAAGAUGGAUCGUUAUGAUAGCUCAUCAGACUAUUCUAAUAUAUCUCAACUUAUACAGAUUGUACAUAAUUUUUAGAUUGUUUAGCGAAUUAAACUUAAAACAUUUAUAAUAAACAUUUCUCACUAGUGGGUUUAGUUAUCAGUAUAUCGGUGUUGUUACGGCAAUAUGGAAAACAGAGCACAGUAGGAGAACCAUGUUUGUCUUUUCAAUCUUUUCAAUCUGGAUGAAAUAUAUCUUUCAUCUCCGAGUCAACAUCCAUGCCAAAAGAAUCAUGCAAAGCCGGUAAAAAAAAGAAUCAUGCAAAGAGCAUCUAAAUGUAAUACAGAAAAAAUCAUAUGUUGAUUCCUCAAUUCGCUGCAUCAUCACAAAAGGAGACACGCAAAUGAAUGCCAGGACGGACCGCAGAUAGAUCUUUCAGUAGAUGGGAUACUUAUUUAAGAGAUCUACAACAGGAUGCCUAACACUAAGAUAAUGUUCAAUCCGCAACAGUUGUUACCUUCUACUUUACCAAAAAUCAAAUAGAAAGUCAUUUGAUGAACAGAAAAUAGUAAAGGAAAAACAAAAAGAGGGAGAAGGGAAUGCACAAACCUCUUCAGAAUUUGUAAAAAUUGAUAGCUCCUUCUCAAUUAACUCGGCCACUGACUUCAUAUAUCCAUCUUUCAUGGAUGCCGUUGUAUUAGAAUUUCAGGCUGUACAGUUAGAAGAUGAGAUUUCAUAUGACAAGUCAACUUACUUGACCAAAUGCUUCGUUAACUUACUUGACCAGCAUAUGAUGGGUCUAUGACAGAGCCAAAUGCCAAAUAUCAGAUUUGCAAUAGGAUCAACAAGAUCAUAUAUAAUCCCUCAAAAAAGAAAAACAAGAUCAUAUUAACUUCAGCUGAUGCAUUCACCUGAAAGUGAAUCAAUAAUACUGGAUUCAGUUCACAUAUAACUUCACAAAUAUAUCCAAUUGGAUCAAAAUGUAUUAACUUUCAGGGAUCUAUGAAAGCCAGCAAUUUUCGAUUCUCACUAACAUGUAGGAAACAAACUUUGAUGGUGGCUAUGUAUACCCACACCCACUGUAGUUUAUAUGCAGCAAAAAAACACGUAAGGAAUACAUCCACCAGAGUUAUAUCAUUGCCUCCAGUGAUAGACCAGACAAUUCUUGUUGCUCUUUUAACGCCAAUAUCCAGUAGCAGAGACUUCAAGCUCUAGUAUCAGCACAUAUAGGACUCAACAGACUAAUAAAACAAGCAAAAGUGAAAGAGAAAACAAUGAUACAUAUGCUAUUGUUUGAUUAAAUAACUGGAUGGAAUUGACUCUAGUGAACCAUUAGCAAUCAGGAAAAUACAAACAUAAAAGGCAUGAAAGAGAUUGAAGUAUCAGUUAAAAUCAGCCUAAUGCAGAUUUUUCUACUGGAUUCCAUAAAGCACAAAAGAUUACAAAGAGCUAGAGUCUACAAAGAGCCAACAGAAGAAACCAUUAAGACACACUCACACAUACUUAUCAAAGAAUAGUGAAACAAAGAUUUUUCUACACAAGAGGAUGGGGAAGCAGUAAUCGAGAACUCACCUUACCACACGAUAUUGAUCCCUCCCACUUCGACGGCGGCAGCCGCCGUCAUUGCGGACGUCUCGAGCACCCUCACCUCGGCUGGCGGCAUCGGGCACUCGAUGCGUUGAGAAGGGAGAGAGCAGGUGGCGUCACGGGGACGCGGCGCGGCGGAGGACGGCUCUCCCACGGCGGCGGCAUGGUGAGGAGGAGGCGGAUCUCGGCCUGGCGGGCGGCGGCCUCGGCGCGCAUCUCGGCCUCCUCCUCGCGCUCCUCGGCCUCACGCCAGUACGAGGAGAAGGCGGAUCGGAGCGGGCCGUGUGCGAGGAGGUGGAGGUGGAUCUGGGCGGGUGUGUGCGAGGAGGAGACGGCGUUGGCAGAGAGAGAUCGGGGCGGUGGCGGUGCGAGCAGAGGAGGAGCGCGAGGAGAGGCAGGUGGGCGGUGGCGGCGGCGCGUGGGCAGCGGGCUGGGCGAGACGCGAGAACAUGAAAGAGAAGAAACGAUUCGGAGUUCGGGCGGUGGCAUAGAGACGUAAUUUCUGUGAAGUUGGGACGACGUACGAGCCUACGGGCUACCACGGAUGCAACUGCAAAUUAAGUAGCAGUAAUGAUUUAAUGGCAUUUUAUUGGGUGGUUAUCAGUGUGUAGGUUUUGCAGUUGAUUUAUGAAUUGAUGUGUCCUUUGACUGUAUCUAAAUCUUGUGUGUUCUUUUUACCAUGUGGAUCGUUGCUUUGUAUAACCUGCAGUUCUAGUAUAUCCUGGCUGUUCUAUGUUUGCAUAAGUAGCUGAUUAUUAGUAAUUAAUUGACGACAGUUAUUACCUGCUGCAUAUAGAAGCCAAUCGAAUAAUUAAUUGACGACAGUUAUUACCUGCUGCAUAUAGAAACCAAUCAAAUAGCUGCAUCUAUCAAACUUAAUUAGCAUGCAUGUUUAUUUUCUCGCCAUGCUUCUAUCGACUUUUAUAUUGUGGUUAAUCUACUGUUGUGGUGUGCCAUUGAUAUUUCAACACUUCAAAUAUGUUAGAGUUGAACCCAUUUUGUAAGCUAAUUGUUUUUUUAAUAGUCUGUUUCUUUGCGAUUGUCAGGUGAGCACGAGCAACGCCUCUGUUGAGUUCUUCCUCCUAAGACCUUCAGAUCCAUGAAGGUUAGCCGACCUAGUUAUACAGCAUGUUGUGGUUCUCGUUAAAAUCAAAAUGUUUACUAAUUAUCUUAUCUCAUGUCGUAGGAUGAUAUAGAAGCCUUAGGGUGCGUUUGGUUCUGCUUUACUUUCGGAAAAAACUGUUUUGCUUUUCAUGCUGUGGAAAAGCAGGAAGCGUGAUUGGUUAGAACAACUGCUUUUAUUUUUUAAUUAUCUGAAGACUGUUUAUAUGUGAAUUGAUCGUAAAUUUAUGAUCUUUGCUUUUGCUUUUAUUGUGACGACGAAGAAAAAAUUAAUUUUGAUUCUAAUUAUUGUUUACAUAAGAAAUAAAGACCUUCGUUCUAUACUAUAACACAAAAUAUAUAUGGUUCACGCGAUAAUGUAUGCCAUGGACAUAGCUAAACUACCUCGCUCUCGCAGCAAACAAAGCAUUGGCGAUCCUAUCACGAAUGAUGUUCAUGGUAACCACGCCAGGUCCCUCGGGAACGACAUAUCCGUUCUCUCCCUCUGAACCGUCAUCCCCUUUUCCAACCUCGGCCCCUUCAGCCAUGUAUUCUUCAUCUGCAUCACAGCUAUCAAAUUCCAUAUCAGGCAACUUUCUAUCAUGAAUGAAAUUGUGCAAGGCAAUGCAAGCUACAAUGAUCCUCGUUUGUGCUCGAGACUUGAAACUUGGCAUAGAUUUUAAUAUGCGUCAUUUUUGCUUUAGAACAGCAAAUGAACGCUCAAUGACAUUGCGAAGUGAUGAAUGCAACAUUUUAGGGUUUUGAGCCCAUCAGUUGAAAUUAUUCUGUCGAAAAACACAAACCAACAUUUAAACCAUUGGACUCAUUCCUCCCUCGAAGUCGAAGAUGCCUUUUCCAUCUCCCCAGACUUAAGCAUCAAAUCAGGAAGAAGAGGAGGACUUUCAGCCAACCUAAAGGGCGUGCGGGCAAAAAUGGCCACGCCUCCGAAUCCACCGCCACCACCACCUGCUACCUCGAGUUCCUCCGCGCCCCCUUUCAAAACAGACGCCGAAAACCCAAACCCCGACCACGCGCCAGCCCUUGGGGCACCUGCCCUGCCGGCGCCGCCGCCGCAACCGGCCAUCUCCAUAGGCCCGUCCUACAUGGUCCUCUCCCUGCGCUGCGUCAUCGGCGAGCUCCGCGCCCGAGGACACCUCGCGGGGCUGGAGAUCCCCGACGGUGAGCUCACCGAAGCGGGGGCGCCCGCCCUUUUCGUCGACGUACUCGCUGCCUUCCUGGCCGAGGUGCAGGUACCAUGUGCGCUCCCGACUCUUGCAAUGCCUCCUGUGUUCGUGGCCGACCGCCCGGUGGACCUGCUCCGCUUGUAUCUUGCUGUGCGCUCUCGCGGCGGAUUCGCCGCCGUGUCCUCCUGGGCGGCCGUCGCUGUGGCGCUAGGUCUCGAACCGACCGCUUACUCCGCCAUCAAGCUGGUGUACGCCAAGUAUCUCUCCCUCCUGGAGCAGAGCAUCUGGAAGCCACGGAAGCAGGAUGGGGUGGUCGAGAGCAGUGGCAAUGCAGACCACCGAUCGAAGGCGAAGAAAGGCAAGUUCAUGUCGCCCCAUAAGGACCACGCGAGCGCCGGAUCAUCUCAGCUGAAGCGGAAGAGGAAUGUGCUUGUGGAGAUGCUUAACUGGGUCCGCCUUGUGGCGAAGAGCCCAGGUGAACAUUCGAUCGUUGGACAGAGUCCUGGCAGCCAGUUCCCCUUGAUGCUCAUGCUCCGUCGCGAGAUGACUGCUUCGCCGCAGGUAAUCCCGUGCCACGCAAUUUUGAUCCUUACAUAUGAGAUGAAUAUAAUACUCCCUCCGAUCCAUAAUAAGUGUCUCAGAUUUUGCACUAACUUAGUACAAACUUGUACUAAAUCUGAGACACUUAUUAUGGAUCGGAGGGAGUAUGUUUGAUUUUAUGGUUCUGUUCAUUCAGUGGUGGAUCUAGAUUCAUGAUUUUGUCAUUUUUUUAAUUUUGUCCAAUUAUAGAUGUUGGUCCUUAGAUUUACCUGUACUCCUGUACACAAGUGCUAUUAUUCAUCAAACGAGAAUUACAUAUCAUUGUUCACGUGCCUGACUAGGGGGCAUCAUUAGGAAUGCUAGAGCAUUUUCCACUAUUUUGGCACGGCCAUUUUCCAUCUAGCCCAAGGAAUAUGAAGUUCUCUUCCUUCCUCAUUCUUUUCCCAUCUAAGGGGUCCAGAAACCUCAGCGAUGGUGAUCUUUAACAUGCCUCUACUUCUGGUCCAUUGUAUGUGUGGCCCAUCUUAUUUUGGAGAAAGGGAAACAUAACAUUUUCCAUAUAUAGUGUUGUUAUAAUCGUAGUUACAAGGUAAAACAAUGGUAGCUUUUUCCAAGAAAAAUGUAUUGAACAGACCCUGUUCGGUCUACUUCAAGUUCUCUUUGGACAGAAAUUUGGUAUAAACACAAACUCUAGCAGUUGCAGGCGGCGAUUGAACCGGAAACCUUAGACUACCGAGUCACACAUGCACGGUGAAGGCUGAAUAGUGAAUACUAACUGGGCUGCAUGGACAUUGGGACUACUAUCACAAGGUUGUGGCUCUUAUAUAGAUUCUGAGCUCACAAUCACUGCAAUUUGACUCAAAACACUUCAAUAUUAUAUAUUUCACAUGCAUUGAACCAGCUGAAUUGCUUGUUUACUUUAAAAUUGAAAUGUAUCCCUAGGUAUAACUGCAAAAUUCAACAUGUUUGUGAAAUAUCGGUGCACCUCAUAGAGUUGUAGCACAACCCUCUUUUGGUUAAUCCCACGUGAGAGGUUCUGCUAGUGCUUACCACGAGUGGUUUGUUUGCAGCUAUAGAAUCCAAGGUGCAGCUUAUUAAAACUAUACCAUCUUUUACCUAUUUAUAGUUAGAGAAUACGCCGAUGGUGGUGCACCAACAAUCUCUUUAAUUAUUUGCUUUCCUUGGUAAAACUCAAACUGAUACCAUGCCAACUGUUCUAUGUGAAAUUUCAGAGAGAACUAACUAAUAUGACUUGAUUAGUACUACAACCUUAUAGCAGAGUCAGACAAAUGGUUUGCAUAUUAGUAUCUCCUCAUCAUUUGUAGCCCAAGAAAGCUUCCUCCAGCUUCAGCCCGUCCAAGCAUAGCCCAACAAAGGUUCUGAGUUGGCGCGUGGUGUUUUGAUUUCUUUCGGAAAGGGAGUGUGUGCGACUUGUCUAUUUCAAGAAUAGAUUGGAUAUAUCCAGCUGUACUUUAGAAUAUUUUUUAAUAUUGUUUGGGUUAAUACAAAUAGUGCGCAUGAUCUCGACGAAUUACUUCUGAAGAAAUUCAGAUAUCAUCUGGAAGGACCAUAGCAUUUCGUGACUCAUUGGUAAAUCUACCUUCAUUCGCUGUAAACCAAUAACGUGAGACCAAUUAACACGGUUCAAGCUAAUCUGCUUGAAGACCAGGCAAAAAGGGGUAUUAUUUCUAACACUAUUCGGCUUCUGAGCACUUCAAACUUGAACAUACUUACACAUCCUGGGUCUGUGAAUCUGUUGACCCCUGCAUGCUCUGCCUCGUUUGUGGCGGUCUAGAUUUGGUGUGGUUCAUCUUGCACAGUUGAGAUCAUUUUUAUAGUGUUCAUGGCUAACAACAUCAAGAACGUCUGUUGGAGGGUCAAUAUCUUCCACAUACAAAUUUGGUAUUUAGCAUGUUACUGGAAAUGUCUCAAAAUGAUUUACAGCUGUAUAGUUUAUCAGGCCUUUUCGGUUUGCUACCAAAUUUUGCAAGUCAAAAUGAUUAUGACACAUUUGAAAACCUGGUUAACAUAAGGAUGAGGUGUAGCUACAUAUUUGGAAAGUUGAUCCGCAAAAAAAACAUAUUUGGAAAGUUUUUCAGAAUGUAAAUAUUGCAGUGGAUGCAUAUAUCUGUAAACUGACAACUCAGUUGGCUUAUUAAUAAUCCUCUAGGCUUUUCGAUAUUUCGGAUAUGAUUAUUACAUGCUUUUGCAAAUAGAAUUUAAUUCAGGGAAUGAUCUGAAGUUCGAGUUCUCUCUGACGGCGGUUUAAGCUUAUCUUGGUAGUGGUCAUAAGACUAAGGUAGCACAAGCUAACUGUAAGAAUAUCUUGAAACAUUUUAGUGUGAGUGGAUUUGGUAUAUAUUUCUUCAGUCAUAUGAACCACUCUAAAUCCUUCCGACCUUAUCAAAGGUCCGGUGUUAUAUUGUGCUUCCUCUAGUUGUAGCAUGGCAAGACUGAGUAAUUAAGAUUGUUUUGUUGUGCUAUGCCACUUGAUAUAUGCUGCAGUUGACACCAUGUACUUUCUUAUAGGCCCUUCCAGUUUGUUUUGGUGGCAUGAACUCUCUAUUUCUGCUUAGAGACCACACGUAUGAUCAUCAGAGAACUUAAAACUGCUGUCAUGCAUUCUGAACUAUGUUUUUAUUUUAUUUAUUUAUUUUCUCUUGUGUGAGAACGUCUAUUCAUGUUAAGGAGGUGCUCUGAAAAUCUAUAAGAGAUCAUUUUUUGUUCAUGCAGAAUGGACUUGCAGCUGAGGAGCAGACACAGUCCAAUGGAUGGGAUGAACUGUCUGCAGAUGAGAGAUGGGACAGGUUUUCUAGUGCCCGAAUUCGGCUUUGUGGCGUAGCAGAUGUUCCAGAAUGGCCUUCAUUACCUUAUGAUGAGCCACAUGUGUUGAGAUUUCUUGGACAACCUCUUUUGCCUCCAGAAAGUAAUGAAGCCCUUGACGCUGACACUAUUGGUAUGGGCAGACCAGACAAGUGCAACUGCCAACUCCCAGGUUCCAUUGCUUGUAUUAGAUUUCAUGUGACUGAGAAGAAGAUUUUACUGAAGCGCGAGCUGGGCUCAGCUUUUUAUGCAAUGGGGUUUGAUCGUAUCGGUGAGGAUGCAGCAUUGACAUGGACAAAGGAUGAAGAGGAGAAAUUCAACGAUGCUAUCCAAAAUGGUCUGCCAUCAUCUAAGAACAGUUUCUGGGACAAACCGGAUCAUGUCUUGGUUUCCAAGAGCAGAAAAGGACUUGUGAGUUAUUAUUACAAUGUUUUCCAGCUGCGGCGAAGAGCGUACCAGAAUCGGCUCACUCCAAAUGAUGUGGAUAGUGACGAUGAUUCAAUCUAGCCUGGCUUCCUACAAAAAAAAAA